UACGGAGAGGGCAAGCGUUGUUCGGAAUCACUGGGCAUAAAGCGCACGUAGGCGGAUCAGAAAGUCGGUUGUGAAAGCCCGGGGCUCAACCCCGGAACGGCUUCCGAAACUACUGGUCUAGAGGACGAGAGGGGAGAGUGGAACUUCUGGUGGAGCGGUGAAAUGCGUAGAUAUCAGAAGGAACACCGGUGGCGAAAGCGACUCUCUGGCUCGUUUCUGACGCUGAGGUGCGAAAGCUAGGGUAGCAAACGGG
rnacentral:misc_RNA from 1 species